rnacentral:rRNA from 2 species
UGGGGAAUUUUGGACAAUGGGCGAAAGCCUGAUCCAGCCAUGCCGCGUGCAGGAUGAAGGCCUUCGGGUUGUAAACUGCUUUUGUACGGAACGAAACGGCCUUUUCUAAUAAAGAGGGCUAAUGACGGUACCGUAAGAAUAAGCACCGGCUAACUACGUGCCAGCAGCCGCGGUAAUACGUAGGGUGCAAGCGUUAAUCGGAAUUACUGGGCGUAAAGCGUGCGCAGGCGGUUAUGUAAGACAGUUGUGAAAUCCCCGGGCUCAACCUGGGAACUGCAUCUGUGACUGCAUAGCUAGAGUACGGUAGAGGGGGAUGGAAUUCCGCGUGUAGCAGUGAAAUGCGUAGAUAUGCGGAGGAACACCGAUGGCGAAGGCAAUCCCCUGGACCUGUACUGACGCUCAUGCACGAAAGCGUGGGGAGCAAACAGGAUUAGAUACCCUGGUAGUCCACGCCCUAAACGAUGUCAACUGGUUGUUGGGUCUUCACUGACUCAGUAACGAAGCUAACGCGUGAAGUUGACCGCCUGGGGAGUACGGCCGCAAGGUUG